rnacentral:lncRNA from 1 species
CAUAACAUAAAAUCCAAUUGCAUGCACCGUUUCCUCUAUAUGAAACUAGACUCAUUAGGCUUUAAUCUCAUUUUUUUCUCAGCCCUUAACUCAAUUUCCACAAUUUAUGGUGAAUUUUCAAAGUCAAACUACUGCUACUUACCAAAAACUGUUUUAGUACAAAUAUUGUUAACUAGUUUAUAACAUCUUUACUUCAAUUCAUUCAAACUCUAUACAUGCCAUAUAAAUCUUUAAACAUAAAACAAAAACUACCGGAAUUGAUCUGAAUAGU